rnacentral:rRNA from 1 species
UACGUAGGGCGCAAGCGUUGUCCGGAAUUAUUGGGCGUAAAGAGCUCGUAGGCGGCUUGUCACGUCGGGUGUGAAAGCCCGGGGCUUAACCCCCGGGUCUGCAUCCGAUACGGGCAGGCUAGAGUGUGGUAGGGGAGAUCGGAAUUCCUGGUGUAGCGGUGAAAUGCGCAGAUAUCAGGAGGAACACCGGUGGCGAAGGCGGAUCUCUGGGCCGAUACUGACGCUGAGGAGCGAAAGCGUGGGGAGCGAACAGG